UCCCCGGCCCAGAUCGGCCCGGGAACGUGGGGGGAGGGCCUGGAGGCAGGGGCUGACCUGGGUCCCCACAGAUGCUGGCCCGGCCCCGCACUGCCACCCAGCACAGACGGCUGGGCCGGUGCCCCUCCCCGGCUCCACACUCCUCGACAGCCCCAAGCAAGCGUCUGCCCUGAGCUCCAGGCUGCGGGGCCACCUGAGUCCACGGGACAUCACUGCCUUGACGGAAGGGAGCCUGUAAGCCCAGACAGACGAAGACAGGGUGAUUCCCAGGAAAGCUGCCGGGAACUUUCACACACGUCUCUGUAAGAUGGGCUUCAUUGCCCCGGAUGAGCACCCCGCUGUAGGAAGACUGGAUCGCGAGGAUCAUUUGGCCAUUCUUUGCUCUUUGCAUCUCCAUAUAUGUCCUGGAUUCAGCCGGUUAAUCUAUACACGAAAGCCUGGUGGGGUUUUGUUUGGAAUUGCCCUGAACUCGCAGAGCAACCGGGGAGAACUCUCAGCUUAGCAACCGCGAGUCUUUGGAUCCACGCGUGUGGUCACGUCUGUGUCUCCGCUUCCCGAAGUCUCAGACUCCUCUCAGCAGCUUUUUGUUAUUCGUUUCCUUACAGAGGUCUCACACAUCUUUUGUUAAAUUGAUUUUUACAAUUUUGGAGCUUUGGGAUGGUAUUUUAAAUAGAAGUUCAAAUUUUAUUCUGUAAUCGUUUGUCACUGGCAUGUGCCCUGUCUGUUGUCCUCUGCCCUGGCUGACGUCCGUAUUAGUUGUAGCUGAUUUUUGGUAGAUUCCAUCA